rnacentral:lncRNA from 1 species
AACCCCACCAGUCACAAACUCCAACUUUUUGCCCUCCAGAGCUACAACUAAAGACCUUCAGUUCAGCAAGUUCUCAGCAACAGCAAAGGAGAGCUGGGAAGGAGCUGUGCCAUCCCACAAGGUGGAUUUGUCUCCUGGAGCUGGUGGGAGGAGCAGAGCAGGAGCCAGCAGCUCCUGGAGCCUUCUUCCAAUUUGGAGAACGCUGUCCUUUACUCACAUCCCACGAGGAUGUAAAUCCAGCUGAGUCUUGGAAAGGAUGACUGGAAGGAGAACUGAAGCCUGGAAGAAGCACUGGGCAGUCGCUGGAUCAGGGAUUUUGAAUUAGCCUCAUUAGCAUGCAUUAAUUAGAUUUCUGCAGAGGCAGAGACAGCGGGCUUCAGGAAAACGAUAUCCUGCUUUUUGUCAGCAGCCUCAGAUGCUCCGGAGGAAGGGGAACUGCUCCUUCCCCGGGGACAGCAGCUCCUGGGCAGGAGGGACAUUCCAGAGGCUGAGCAGCUGCAGCGGCUGGGGAUGCUCAGCCAGCCCAGAAAGCAAGAAGUGCUGGAAGAUGCUGCCCUGGGAGAGGUGUAGGAAAGGGAUAAUCCUGUCCUGAGCAGUCCUGGGCUGGCAGGUGGCAGCAGGGACAUGGUGUCACCACGGCCCCUGAGCAGAGACAGGCACAGGGUCAGGUGCAAGUGAAGUCAGGUGGAAGCUGCAGGCAAGAAAUGCCCAUUGUUUGCUGGCAAGUUGGCUUUUCUCUCACCCAAGCCACAAGAAUCCCAAGCCCUUUGUCCAGCUUCAGCCUGAGUGUCUGGGAGUGUCCUUGCUGAGGGAAAUGUCACCAGGGAAGACAGCAAAGGGUUUCUCAUAGAGGUCACCAAACAGCUUGGAGGGGAAGGUGCUUUUUUCUAAACAGAAGAGUAAACUUGGGCAAAAGGCUGCUGAGACUGGCACAGGGGCCUGCCUGAAUUCCCUGGGGUUUCCCAUUCCUCCAGGAAAUACCCACUUUGGGAAUUCUGUCCCUUUACUUAAAUUUGGCCAUUUCUCCCCACUGCUCAUCCUGAUGUGCUUGACUGGAGUGUGACUGCCUUGGCCAGAACCCAAACCAGCCCUGGUGUGUUGGGUAAUCCCACGGGAUACAAAUCCCACAUCCCAUGGGAUUCUAUGGGCUACAAAUCCCUGUGCUGCAGCUGCUGCAGAACCUUUUGAACCUGAGAGCGUUCAGCACUGAGCAGAGGCUGCAGGAGCACACAGAGCAGGAGGUGUGGGGACAUUUCUGCAGCUCAGAGCCUUUUCUGGUUUUGUGCAGCUGUGGCCAAACUGUCAUUAGCUCCCCAGGUCACUGAGCUGUGACAGAAGUGUUUGUGCAUUAGAUAAAGGUUCUGAUUAAUUAUCUGAGCACCUCGUGGCCUUUCAUGAGCUCAGUCUGCACGGAAAGGGUGAGCUCUGUUUCACAGAUAGGACCAAGAAACAGCAAGAGCUAAGAGAUUUCUUAAUUCUUCUUUGAAUUUCUCAUGUAGGGCUUGGUCCCUUUGUCCCCUGUCACUGUUGGUUUGGCUCUGCUUUGGAGCUGCCUGUCCUGAUGAGAACCUUCCCUGAGGCCACGGGCCAGACCACAGCCCCCAGAACAUCCUCAUGGAUUUUAGGGUCUUUUAUCCUUCCUAAAGACCACAGCAACCCCAAAUCCCUGCCCCUGGAGCAGGAGCAGGUUCUCAAUCUGUUCUCUGUUCCAUCCAGAGAGGGAAGCAGGGAUGGAUCCUGAGAGCUCUCCCAAAUUUCAGUCCCUGGCCCCAUCCCCAGGCACAUCCUGCCCUGGGCUUGGAGGAGCCCAGCUGGGACCUGCUGGAGGACAGAUCCUGGACCAGGACCAGUCCUGGACCCACAGGACACAUUCCCAGUCUGGAAUCAGCACUCAGGGUGGUGGUGAGGAAAGGAAAGAGGCCUCAACUGUGCAGAUGGGACAUGGGUUUGUAGGAAAAGCAAGGAGGAUUUUUAGGGGGCUGCUGGAAGGAAGGAAAUUUGUGUGGGAGAGACUCAGUGUCUUCUUGUGGAAAAGUCUGGAAGCUGCAGAUCAUCCCCAGACCCCAAUCUCCCAGCAGGGACAGUCAGCAGCGGUUCCACAGAAACCUUUGCAACCUCAACACCCCUUAUGGCCCUGAGCAGCCUCACCCGGGGCUCCCCACGGCUGCUCACGGUUCCAGUUCAGCUCAGCCCUCAUUCCCUUCCUUGCCUUGGGCACACUCAGCUCUGAGCCUGCCUCCAGCACAGACCUUUCAGCAGGUAAUUUCCCUCUGGGAUCAACCCUUGGAUGCACAUUUUAAUUUAUUUCCAGGCUGGGUUUUGAUCCUGGCUCCUGAGGGAAGUUUUGGGGUCUUGCUGUGGGCUUGUCUCCAAUCCUGGCCCUGUCUCCUUUUAUUCUGGAAUUCCUGGCUGGAGCCUGGGCUGUGCUUGUCCUGCCUGGGAUUGUUGAGGGGCUGAGCUGCUCCUCCAGGAGGGUUUUGGGGAGGGGUGAGGGUGUUCCCUGUGCUGGGGUUAUCCCUGGAUCCCAGGUUCCUGCUCAGCCCAAGGCUGCACCCAAACCCCUGAGGGUGCCUGGAGAGCUGCUGCCUCCCAAAGAAAGUGCUUGGAGCAAAACGGAUUCCAAGGCUGGUGUUAGAGGGGGAAAUUUUAGGAUUUGGAGUGGGUGCAGGGCUUGACAAGGUGUUGG